CAGGUUUGGCAUCAUCAUAAUAUGUCUUAAUGUAACACUGUUUUACUAAUAUUGGUACACAAACAUCCUGUAUAAAAAUAAAAAAAAAACUGCCUAAUAAUAAAUAAUCAAAUAAACAAACAAGAAUAGAUCUGCUUUACCUUUAGACCAGCAUUGCUCUAGUGCAUCCCGGGGGAUCAUUUAAAGGAAAGAGGCCCCUACGCUGUGCUGUCAGUGGAGAAGGGGGUUCUUUGUGAAGGGCAGUGCAGUGCUGCGGCAGAGCCUCUGAGGCUUGGUGCGUGAGGGAUCGCACAUGGCAAGGGUGGGAGGAAACCAGGGGCGGUGCGGCUGGAUCUCACUGAGCAGCCAAGCCUGUUUCAUUCCUCACACCAUAGAGACCAGCAAAGAAUCAAACCUGUUAAAUAACUCAGGAAUGAAAGCCAUGUGAACAGAGCCCAGAGUGUUCAAUGAGGUUCCAAACUGGAUAGAGCCCAGAGUGUUCAGUGAGGUUCCAAACUGGAUAGAGCCCAGAGUGUUCAGUGCGGUUCCAAACUGAAUAGAACCCAGAGUGUUCAGUGCGGUUCCAAACUGAAUAGAACCCAGAGUGUUCAGUGAGGUUCCAAACUAAAUAGAGCCCAGAGUGUUCAGUGAGGUUCCAAACUGAAUAGAGUCCAGAGUGUUCAGUGAGAUUCCAAACUAGCUAGUUUAACAACCAGACUUAAGGAGGAAACACCAAUGAUGUUCCAUAUGAAACAGCAAACCCUCAUUUAUUAUGAAUGGGCACAAUGUGAACAGACCGCUCUGGUAUUAGUAGAUCAUUGUUGACAUGUUAGGAAUUCAGUCCAAUAGAGUCCUGUGCUGGAUCGUGUUUUUCUAAUGCUGGCGGAGGGUUACCUAUGCUUAUCUUUCUGUAGAGGAAUUCCAAUUCUACACACAAGUGUAUGGUGAAGUGUUUAAAGAGCUGCUAGAUACAGGUUCUGAAAUACCACAGCUCUGUACUGGUAUUCAUCUACUCACAUCUAUAAGGCAUGCAUGAAUGAACAUGUCUGACAGCCCCCUGGUGAGCGAGUAAGAGGGUAUGAAUGCAUGCCUUAUACAUGCAAUCAACGUCGUUGUAACAGGGCUGAAUUCAAAAUGAACUCGCAGGAAAUGCAUACAAUAUUCAGGUGUUAUCAUGUGGUAUUCAGCCGGAAUUCAUUAUGAAUCUGUGGCCAUUCUGUUAGUUUUACUGUCAUGACUGAAACACUCAAUGAUACGCCCAGCGGUUCUAAACCAGGAGGAGAUUACAUUAGUUAAGGUAAGUGUGAUAUUUCAGACCUGUGUCAAGUUGCUAAUAACAAUAAGUAAAAAAAUAAAAUAAAAUAAAAACAAAGUUGUUCGGAAAGCAUCCUCUCCAGCGCCCUCCAGAGGCGUGUUCUAGCUAGUGCAGACUGUCUGGGCAGGGCAUUGUGCUUCAUCAUCAGAGCAAUGUGUCUGCCGUUCCUGGCCCUGCUCCUGGGUUCCGGACCCUCCCGCACACCCCUUCUAUUUUGCAGUUAUGUUCUUUUAUUUUAGGUUUUGAACAGUU